UUAGAUAUUCAUGGCGCUGCAUAAGCAUAUUCAGUUCCUGGGAGCACUAGCUGCUGGCGUAUACAUGUAUUUCUUGGUUCUAAUAAGAUGCAUGCAAUCUUAGAAAAUAUAGUAAACACCUAUCAUGAAAUUUUGAACUCGCAUGAUGUGUCUCUCUGUUAAUAACUAUCAUGCUUGCAUAGCUGGUUGAUUUAUUUGAUUAUAAUCAAACUGGACCGUCGUUAUAAUCAAACUGGACCAUCAUGAUCAAAGAAAUACAUGUACCAAAGUCACAUCUGUUUAGAUCAUGAUUAGGCAUACAAUUGCUCCUUCAAAUUAUUGUGAUAUUGUAGUACUCUUUAAUCUAACAAAUUAUGUAUUGUGGUGCUGCACCUUCUUUUCUCUUCUUUCCAGGACAUAUACUCUGCAUGGGAAGAUCCCUACUUGCUAUGAACUUCAGACGCAUCGGCCGCUGCUAGGUGUGCCGGAUGCCCUGGAGAUGGUCAGAGCUGUGGUGCCUGCAAUUCCGGCUUCAUCUCCACACCUACAGGUUUUUGAUAAUUUGCUCCUUGGGAGGCCAGUUUCCUUCAAGUGCAGCUAAAUCAAAGAGACACCGACUUAUUUUAGUGCUUGAGAUUUUGAUUGCCAAUCUGCAACAAUGCCCAUGCCCUUUGGUAUUGCACUGAUAAUUUGCUCCUUGGGAGGUCAGUUUCCUUCAAGUACAGCUAAAUCAAAGAGACACCGACUUAUUUUAGUGCUUGAGAUUUUGAUUGCCAAUCUGCAACAAUGCCCAUGCCCUUUGGUAUUGCACUCUAAUUAUUAUUAUUAUUAUUCUCUUGCAGAUGGUUUCCGUCUUAAGUGUCUACAACAAAAGGGAUAAGCAGCACCGCAUCUGAGUACCAAAGCCAUCCAUGCCAUUAUAUCACGAGUUGCAAGUAUGUGUGUGCUAUUCAAUCUAUUUACUGAGACAAGAGGCGUUUAUUUAUGUCCAGAUUUCUGUUGGAGAUUAUGGUACAUAGAAGAUCUCAUAUUAGAGAAGAGAAAAUUCAGUAUAUCUGUCGAUCUGGACAAUAU